rnacentral:rRNA from 1 species
AUUGAACGCUGGCGGCAGGCCUAAGACAUGCAAGUCGAGCGAGAAAGUACUUCGGUACGAGUACAGCGGCGGACGGGUGAGUAACGCGUAGGAAUCUACCUAGUAGUGGGGGACAACUCGUGGAAACGCGAGCUAAUACCGCAUACGCCCUACGGGGGAAAGCGGGGGAUCUUCGGACCUCGUGCUAUUAGAUGAGCCUGCGUAAGAUUAGCUAGUUGGUGGGGUAAAGGCNUACCAAGGCGACGAUCUUUAGCUGGUCUGAGAGGAUGAUCAGCCACACCGGGACUGAGACACGGCCCGGACUCCUACGGGAGGCAGCAGUCGGGAAUAUUGCGCAAUGGGCGAAAGCCUGACGCAGCCAUGCCGCGUGUGUGAAGAAGGCCCUAGGGUUGUAAAGCACUUUCAAUUGGGAGGAAAAGNUAAUGGUUAAUAGCCAUUAGCCCUGACGUUACCUUNAGAAGAAGCACCGGCUAACUCCGUGCCAGCAGCCGCGGUAAUACGGAGGGUGCAAGCGUUAAUCGGAAUUACUGGGCGUAAAGCGCGCGUAGGCGGCUCUUUAAGUCGGAUGUGAAAGCCCCGGGCUCAACCUGGGAACUGCAUCCGAUACUGGGGAGCUAGAGUGUAGGAGAGGGAGGUAGAAUUCCAUGUGUAGCNGUGAAAUGCGUAGAUNUAUGGAGGAAUACCAGUGGCGAAGGCGGCCUCCUGGCUAACACUGACGCUGAG